UAGAUGGAUGCUUAUGGGUUUAAGCGCUUAGCUGUUAACUAAGAGUUUGAGGGAUCGAGACCCUCUCAUCUAG
rnacentral:tRNA from 1 species